UGGAGCCAUUUCCUCUUGCAGCUCGUCAUCUUCACUGGAAGCACUUUGUUCGUCAUUCAACUGUUCCUGUUCUAAUUUGGACGAUGGAUGAGCAUCACCUUCAACAUGGACAACCUCAUCCUCGUCAUUCAUUAGGAAAACAAUCAUGCCUUCAUUCCGAACAAAGAUUUUUAUUGUCGAAUUUUAGUGCCAUUGAAAGAGGCUAAAUAUCCACCUUGAUGUCCAAGACAGAGCCAGUAAAAGAAAAAAAAUGAUUACGGACAGGUUGUUAAAGUACGUUAGAUAUUGGAAGAAGCAUCGCGGAGAGCCAUGAAAGAUCCAAGAAAUGGAUGCAAAAAAAAUCGAUCAUUGCAUCAAGUAGGGGAUUGCUAUGCCAUUUCAAAACUAAAGAGACAAAUGAAACAGUCCAGGCUACUAGAGCAAUUAAGCAACGAAGGAAAUAGAAACUUACCUGUGAUUUCACCACCGGAUGCAGUCCUAAGCGACCCGGACAUGGAAAACGGAAAUGUCUUAUCUCUUUCCAAGAUACAAAGGACAGGAACCCAACCUUAUGAAACGCGUUCAAGCAUACGUCAGAUGAGAUGCUCGCGUGUAAUCCAGGGACAUGUCAAGGGAUAGCUUCACAGAAUUCCAAUUUACUGGAUAUUUGUACAGAUUGCCCUUGGAUCAGUAAGCGAAAAAAGCCUAACGUACCGGAAUUUGGACGGCGACAUCCAAUGUCGAUCUGUCAUGUCAAUGAAUGCUUUUGUGAACACGGAAGCUGAAAAAAUGAUGAAAUUGUAGCUACAACAUCGACGAUACAUUUUUUGAAUCCAGAGCAGGAGCUGCCGUGACAAGCCAGGGAUGGCAGCAAUGACGAGAUUGCUUAUAUGCCGAAAAAGUUCGUAUCAUCUUUGUUAAAUAUCCGCAACUACUUUGCCUGAGGAAAAUCGGCUCAUUUUUACGGGAUAUUUAGUUCCAAGUUAUAUCGAGCAAUUUCCUCUGCAUACAAAUUUGGGCGAGCUGAAGGGAGACCUAAACAAACUGAGAAGCCUACUAGGAAACCAACUCUGCAGAGAAGCUUCGAUCAAAUGUAAAGCUUUUGGGAGGAUAUAAACGUGGAUGAGAUCUAUUCCGUAGUCAUUUUUUUCUUUUCGUUAGAAAUGGUGAGCACAGCGGUGCCCAAAAGUAAGCACUAGAAUGAAGUGUUUUCGACUCCGUGUUGAUCUC